AGGGAGGUAUGCAAGAAGCCAGAAAACCUUGAGUGGAGUGGGAUGGACCAGAGCACCAAAUGUAAAAGGGCCUGCUGGCUGGCUUGAAGUAAGAGAGGGCAUAAUCUUCGAAGACCCUGACAGUCAAGAAAUUUCUUAUAAAAUCCCCUGAGAAAGGGCCUCUUUUCUGGAUGUCUGAUGGUGAGCCAUAACUCAGAAAGAAUUAUCUUAGAGAAACACCAGCCCUAUAUACCAGUGCUUCCAAGUAUUAUUACCGGUAAGAAUUACUAAUACUUCUAAACAUUAACAAUGCGUCUGAGAAGUAUAAAUCU
ensembl:lincRNA